rnacentral:rRNA from 1 species
CCUACGGGAGGCAGCAGUGGGGAAUAUUGGGCAAUGGAGGAAACUCUGACCCAGCAACGCCGCGUGAGUGAUGAAGGUCUUCGGAUUGUAAAACUCUUUAAGUGGGGACGAAGAAAGUGACUGUACCCACAGAAUAAGCCUCGGCUAACUACGUGCCAGCAGCCGCGGCAAUACGUAGGAGGCAAGCGUUAUCCGGAAGGACUGGGUGUACAGGGUGCGUAGGUGGUUCGGCAAGUUAGUAGCGAAAUUCCGGGGCUCAACCUCGGAACUACUGCUAAAACUGUUGGGCUUGAGUGCAGGAGAGGCAUAUGGAAUGCCUAGUGUAGCGGUGGAAUGCGUAGAUAUUAGGAAGAACACCUGUGGCGAAGGCGAUAUGCUGGACUGUAACUGACGCUGAGGCACGAAAGCGUGGGGAGCAAACAGGAUUAGAUACCCGGGUAGUC